AAAUUGAAGAGUUUGAUCAUGGCUCAGAUUGAACGCUGGCGGCAGGCCUAACACAUGCAAGUCGAACGGUAACAGGAAGCAGCUUGCUGCUUCGCUGACGAGUGGCGGACGGGUGAGUAAUGUCUGGGAAACUGCCUGAUGGAGGGGGAUAACUACUGGAAACGGUGGCUAAUACCGCAUAACGUCGCAAGACCAAAGAGGGGGACCUUCGGGCCUCUUGCCAUCAGAUGUGCCCAGAUGGGAUUAG
rnacentral:rRNA from 11 species